GGCUCGUUGGUCUAGGGGUAUGAUUCUCACUUAGGGUGAGAGAGGUCCCAGGUUCAACUCCUGGACGAGCCC
rfam:Caprimulgus carolinensis contig78094, whole genome shotgun sequence.